rnacentral:misc_RNA from 1 species
GAUGAAGAACGCAGCGAAAUGCGAUAAGUAAUGUGAAUUGCAGAAUUCAGUGAAUCAUCGAAUCUUUGAACGCACCUUGCGCUCCUUGGUAUUCCGAGGAGCAUGCCUGUUUGAGUGUCAUGAAAUUCUCAACCUUUUCAGCUUUCUUUGUUGAUCAGGCUUGGAUGUGGGAGUAUGCGGGCUUCUCAGAAGUCGGCUCUCCUGAAAUGCAUUAGCUGGACCUUUGUUGCCUGGCUUUGGUGUGAUAAUUAUCUACGCCAUUGUAGUCAAGCAGCUUAAAAUGAGGUUUCAGCUUCUAACCGUCUCCCCUGAGACAACUUUUUGACAAUUUGACCUCAAAUCAGGUAGGACUACCCGCUGAACUUAAGCAUAUCAAUAAGCGGAGGA